GGUUCUUCUCAGAAUGUGAGAGCUGGCCAGAAAGUGGUGCUGUGGAAAUUGUCUAGGUCCCUGCUCAGCAUGUGCACAGAGGACAUGCCUGAACAGGCAGCAACAAGGAAGGCUGGGCCAACCUAGGUGUCACUUCCAUGAAGUGAAGGACUUGGUUGUACUGGAGCACCAGCCCAGCCUGAUCCCAGCGGCUUCCCGACCAUGCUGACCUGCUUGUUCAUGAAGACAUAGAUGAAGGGAUUAUAAACAGUGGAAGCCUUGGAGAAGACAGAGGGGAUGGAAGCCAGGCGGACGUCAAAGGGUUCCCCACGAUGGGUCACUACCCACAGUGCAAAGGAGGCGUAUGGCAGCCAACAGACCAGGAAGCCCAUCACCAUCACCACCACCAUCUUGGUCACCUCUCGCUCAGCUUUCUGUGUCGUGGCUGACUGCUCCUGCUGCUUGGCAACCUGUUGGCAUUGUCGAGAGGGGUGGGAAGGAGAGAGGGUUAGCCGUGGGGGUGAAUCCCUGGAGACCGACCAAGUGGCAGGAUGGGCAGGCCCUUGGUGCAUGGGAGCAGUUACCAUAUGCAUGGGGCCUACAUAAAACUUGGGUGGGGGGAGAAAAGGGAGAACAGCAGCAUGGGGGCAGAUGCUUUAGCUAGGUCUGAAAUGAGCUGUCAGGGAAGAGACCAGCUAGGUGAA